rnacentral:lncRNA from 1 species
CGGUAAAUAAUUUUUGUAGUGUAAAAGUUAAAUAAAUUCAUACAUACUGUAAUACAGAUAACCAAAGUAUAAAAUUUAAUUUACAGUGACACAUGGGCCUACGAACGACCAAAAGUAUCAAAAGCGGUAAACCUACAGUUUUUGAGGAUGCAAGUCCAACUGUAGCCCUCAACAAAGUGAGCUAUCUACCGACUAUCCUGAGCCUGAAAUGGGUGGAAAGGAGGGUGGUGAGAUUAUAUAAUCCCAGUGAGUAAACAAAUACCAUCUAAAAUAUCUAAAGUUGAGUAAAUGGAGACAGAUAAAAUAGAUUAGCAUAAAAAUGAUUCUCAGCAUUUCGAACUCAUUUCAAUAAGAUAAAAUAGAUUCAUUUCACCAAAAUAAACAACGAGGUUUAUGAUUUCCUGAAAAGUUUGGCUCGUGCUAAAAUCAUUCUCAUACUCAGUUAUCAGGGAUACCUUGGCUGAGGGCUAUCCCAACUGAGUCUGCCAAUGCUGUUACAAAGUUAUGUAUGCAUAAAUCAUGUUUUUAUUUUGAAAACAUAGCUGUUCCUUGGCGUUGGCUGAGCUCACCCUCACGUGGUGGUUUGGCGUGAAGUAAAAUCUAAAGCUUUAACCUCAGGAGUUAUCCAACCACGCCUCUCGUACUGAGGUAUGAAUAUAAUAGGGUUACCGUGCCCCUCUAAUAGGCUAGUCCACGGAACCCGUCCACUACAGCAACCAAUUUAUAACCCACCAAUUCAAUAAAAUUCAAUAGCUUGACAUGGCAAUUAUUUUAUUUUACAGCCUCUCAAGACAAAUUAACAGUUCAUACUUUUUCAGCACAUUUACCAAAUCCAACCAUUCAUGCCAAUAUUAUCAUAAGCCAUUUAAUUCAAACCAUGAUUUAUAACAUAGCAAUUAGUCUCCAAUUACUGCAUUUUCAAAACCAUCUUUCAAUUUCAAGACAAUUUUAUAAAAUCAUUUCAUUUAAUCACAUUUUGCUUAUAAAACAUAAAGAUUUACCAUUUAAACUCAUUUUUCUAUCAAAUCACAAAAACGAAUAAAAACUACUUUAGAUAAUUAAGACGAGAAUAAGGUUACUCACUAUUUCAGGAGUCGAAUUUCGAGUACUCCGAUUCUUGAUCCUCGGGUACUAUCUAUUUACUUUUACCAGAAUGCUCACCACCUAAACAUAAUGCACAAUAAGCCAUUUACUACAUUUAUGCUAAAUUGUUAUAAAACCAAUUCAAGCUUUAUACUAAUGCAUGAAAUGGGAUGUAAAUUUCGUCUAAACACGGUGUUCUACACAAAUUCAAUUGUGUACCUCAAUAAAACGGUAUUGGCCUAAUUCAAUCUAUCACCCGAUUGAUUGGCCAAUACGUCCAAUUCAACUCCAAAUAAUUCCAUAUUUCUCCCAAUACUCCAAAUCAUCAAAUACAAAUUAAAAUAACUUGAAAUAUGGCAAAAUCAUCCUCACAUUUUCUCUUGUAAAAUUCGGCCAUGGUGGGUGCAUCAACACUAUGAUUUUUCCUACUUGAUUUUCUCACCAUAAUUCAUCAUUUCCUAACCAAUUCACUUGAAAUAAAAUCAAAUCCACCAUCAACACUCUACAAGGAAGAUUCGGCCAAUGAUGAACUCAUGAGGAAUAUGUGAAUUUCAAGCUUAAUUCUUACACUUAACGCCAUAAACAACUAAAAUCAUCCAUAUAUCUUAAAAAUCUAUCUAAAUCAUCACCAAAUUCUCUCUCCUAGGGUUUGAUCAGCACACUAUCCUUCAUGAUAUCUUGUGAUUCAACCAUGGAAAAUAAGAAAAAAUGCUUAAGAAAGAGAGAUCUCAAGCUUAAUUGAAAAAUCUUACCGUUUUUUCACUUGUUUCCUUGAAUUUUCACACUUUUCCCUUGAAUUUUUCCACCUAGGCUUUUGUUCUUCCUUUUCUUCCUUUGUU